GGAAGGCAUUGGAUGCAGCAUCCAAAGAGUGUGACCAACUACAGUUGUGGAGGCCAGCUAUAGUGAAUCACCUCUAUUGGACUGCAGCCUCAACCCCAGAUGGCAACCCAGCGGUCAUGGAGGCCAAAUGGAGAAGUUUAGUGAACCACAUCCAGGACAUCCAUGACCAUGACACCCCUGCCUUCUCCAGUUGUGCCCAUGGCCCUCUAGACGAAGAUCAGCGCAACAAAGAGUGGCUGGACCCAGGCUCAUUGGCAGCAGUCAAGUUGGAGAACAUAAUGAUGAGGCUGCCUUGCUGAAAGAUGUUCGUCAGCUGUCUCCACAGCACCAGACCUUCUCCCUUGAGGCUUACCACUCCCUCAUCUUGCACUUCGCGCCCAAGCACACAGGGUUUUCAUACCUUGGGAUGUAUAGCAGGCUUCUCUUAGCGGCGCUGCAUUAUAAUCACAAUGCCAAUCGCGAGACAGCACGGAGAAGUGACGGGACAGAGAAGUACUGCGUG